rnacentral:rRNA from 1 species
GGUGCCGUAGGAGCUAUUUGCAGGGAUUUCUCAGGCGUUUUUCAGGGUGCAUCUGCGGUCGUUUUCAGAAACAUCGACGAGCCCGAGGUGUUGGAAAGUCUGGCAAUAAGAGAAGCUCUAGCACUAGCAGAUGAUCUCUAUAUUCAAAAAAUCUCUGUUGCCUCAGACUACAAGUUAACUGUGGAAGCUAUUCACAAAGGAACAUCGUCGGCUUAUGGAGCAGUUGUGCAAGAGAUCAAGGAGCACUCUAGCAAUUUUACUUCUUGUGUUUUUAGUCAUGAGUUUAGAACCUCGAAUGUCGAGGCCCAUAAACUAGCAAAGCACGCUUUAACUCUUGGGACCGGUCGCCACGUUUGGUUAGGCCACCCUGGAGAUCUUUCCUUCGUCCCUUAA